rnacentral:rRNA from 1 species
UUGGGAGCUCUCCCAUAUGGUCGACCUGCAGGCGGCCGCGAAUUCACUAGUGAUUCGUAUUACCGCGGCUGCUGGCACGGAGUUAGCCGGGGCUUUCUUGGUCAGGUACCGUCAUUAUCUUCCCUGCUGAAAAGGGCUUUACAACCCUAAGGCCUUCAUCACCCACUCGGUAUUGCUGGAUCAGGCUUUCGCCCAUUGUCCAAUAUUCCCCACUGCUGCCUCCCGUAGGAGUCUGGGCCGUGUCUCAGUCCCAGUGUGGCUGAUCAUUCUCUCAAACCAGCUACAGAUCAUUGGCUUGGUAGGCCAUUACCCUACCAACUACCUAAUCUGGCGCGGGCUCAUCCAUCAGCGAUAAAUCUUUCCUCCAAAGAGAAUAUACGGUAUUAGCAAUUAUUUCUAAAUGUUAUUCCGUACUGAUGGGCAGAUUCCCACGUGUUACUCACCCGUCUGCCACUAAUUUAUUUAAAGCAAGCUCUAAAUAAAUCCGUUCGACUUGCAUGUGUUAAGCAUACCGAAAGCGUUCGUUCUGAGCCAUGAUCAAACUCUAAUCGAAUUCCCGCGGCCGCCAUGGCGGCCGCAAGCAUGCGAC